CAAAAAGCAAAGUGAGAACUGUGAGAUGAAGUUUCAGAUAUUCUUUAUUAUAGAAAACUAAACAGAUCACUGGUUUGGAUCGGAAACUUGUACGUGGCUGCAAGAGAAAUAGCAGAACAAAACAAAAUGUGGUUGUCGUGUGAACAUCGUGACUCCCCAUGCUCUCAACUCCAUGUUGUUUCUCAGAUUUCAGGCCUGAGCCAGCCAUCGUAACCACAAGAAGUUUUGAUACUGACCUGUCAUCAACUCAUCACCAACAAUCUCAGUAUAACCAAUCGGAUAAACAGCUCUUAGUGUAAUUGGAAAAACUAUGUCCUCGUGUACACCCAUGUGAGUGUGGGGGUAUUCACGAGUCGACCCCUUUUCCUAUCCUGCCUGGCGUCAACUUCACUGAGGAUGGAGCAGUUGGAGCACUUGUGGAUGCCUGGCUGUGGAUUUCCCGGGCGUAAAGGUAGGACAAAUUUAUCUUCAUUCUUCCUUUGGACUAUUUCUUGGCGUUGAUAGUACGAUUAUUUCUGAGUUAGGCCUUUGACUGAAAGUUUUCUCUUGCCGUUUCUUAAAGCUCAAUCAGGGUUCAUUAAAUAACUCAUUUGAAGCAGAGCGACUGCAUAUCAGGCCUGUUUUAUACCUCACAACUUUGUCUGCGGGUCAACAAUCAA